CGUGUAGGCUGUUUAUUAAGUCUGAUGUGAAAGCCCUGGGCUCAACCUGGGAAGUGCAUUGGAUACUGGUAGACUUGAGUACGGGAGAGGGCAGUGGAAUUCCCAGUGUAGGAGUGAAAUCCGUAGAUAUUGGGAGGAACACCGGUGGCGAAGGCGGCUGCCUGGACCGAUACUGACGCUGAGACGCGAAAGCGUGGGGAGCAAACAG
rnacentral:rRNA from 1 species